GCAGCGGAAAACCCGUCGAACCGAGGUGU
rnacentral:piRNA from 1 species